rnacentral:rRNA from 1 species
GACGAACUUUGGCGGCGUGCUUAACACAUGCAAGUCGAACGGAAAGGCCCUGCUUUUGUGGGGUGCUCGAGUGGCGAACGGGUGAGUAACACGUGAGUAACCUGCCCUUGACUUUGGGAUAACUUCAGGAAACUGGGGCUAAUACCGGAUAGGAGCUCCUGCUGCAUGGUGGGGGUUGGAAAGUUUCGGCGGUUGGGGAUGGACUCGCGGCUUAUCAGCUUGUUGGUGGGGUAGUGGCUUACCAAGGCUUUGACGGGUAGCCGGCCUGAGAGGGUGACCGGCCACAUUGGGACUGAGAUACGGCCCAGACUCCUACGGGAGGCAGCAGUGGGGAAUAUUGCACAAUGGGCGGAAGCCUGAUGCAGCAACGCCGCGUGCGGGAUGACGGCCUUCGGGUUGUAAACCGCUUUCGCCUGUGACGAAGCGUGAGUGACGGUAAUGGGUAAAGAAGCACCGGCUAACUACGUGCCAGCAGCCGCGGUGAUACGUAGGGUGCGAGCGUUGUCCGGAUUUAUUGGGCGUAAAGGGCUCGUAGGUGGUUGAUCGCGUCGGAAGUGUAAUCUUGGGGCUUAACCCUGAGCGUGCUUUCGAUACGGGUUGACUUGAGGAAAGGUAGGGGAGAAUGGAAUUCCUGGUGGAGCGGUGGAAUGCGCAGAUAUCAGGAGGAACACCAGUGGCGAAGGCGGUUCUCUGGGCCUUUCCUGACGCUGAGGAGCGAAAGCGUGGGGAGCGAACAGGCUUAGAUACCCUGGUAGUCCACGCUGUAAACGGUGGGUACUAGGUGUGGGGUCCAUUCCACGGGUUCCGUGCCGUAGCUAACGCUUUAAGUACCCCGCCUGGGGAGUACGGCCGCAAGGCUAAAACUCAAAGGAAUUGACGGGGCCCCGCACAAGCGGCGGAGCAUGCGGAUUAAUUCGAUGCAACGCGUAGAACCUUACCUGGGUUUGACAUGGAUCGGGAGUGCUCAGAGAUGGGUGUGCCUCUUUUGGGGUCGGUUCACAGGUGGUGCAUGCCUGUCGUCAGCUCGUGUCGUGAGAUGUUGGGUUAAGUCCCGCAACGAGCGCAACCCUUGUUCACUGUUGCCAGCACGUUAUGGUGGGGACUCAGUGGAGACCGCCGGGGUCAACUCGGAGGAAGGUGGGGAUGACGUCAAGUCCUCAUGCCCCUUAUGUCCAGGGCUUCACGCAUGCUACAAUGGCUGGUACAGAGAGUGGCGAGCCUGUGAGGGUGAGCGAAUCUCGGAAAGCCGGUCUCAGUUCGGAUUGGGGUCUGCAACUCGACCUCAUGAAGUCGGAGUCGCUAGUAAUCGCAGAUCAGCAACGCUGCGGUGAAUACGUCCCCGGGGCU